UAUAGAGGUCCCAAGCGUUGUUCGGAUUCACUGGGCGUAAAGGGUGCGUAGGCGGUCGGGUAAGUCUGACGUGAAAUCUUCGAGCCUAACUCGGAAACUGCGUCGGAUACUAUUCGGCUAGAGGAAUGGAGGGGAGACUGGAAUACUUGGUGUAGCAGUGAAAUGCGUAGAUAUGAAGAGGAACACCAGUAGCGAAGGCGAGUCUCUGGACAAUUCCUGACGCUGAGGCACGAAAGCCAGGGGAGCAAACGGG
rnacentral:rRNA from 1 species